rnacentral:rRNA from 1 species
AAUGGGUGAGUAACACGUACUUAACAUACCUUUUAGAUUGGGAUAACGGUGAGAAAUUAUCGCUAAUACCGCAUACUUAUAUAAGUCGCAUGACUUAUAUAUAAAAGAAGCCUUAAAGCUUCACUAAGAGAUUGGGGUGCGGAACAUUAGCUAGUUGGUAAGGUAAUGGCUUACCAAGGCAAUGAUGUUUAGCGGGGUUGAGAGACUGAUCCGCCACACUGGGACUGAGAUACGGCCCAGACUCCUACGGGAGGCAGCAGUAGGGAAUUUUCCACAAUGGACGAAAGUCUGAUGGAGCGACACAGCGUGCAGGAUGACGGCCUUCGGGUUGUAAACUGCUGUUAUAAGGGAAGAAAAAGCAUUAGAGGAAAUGCUAGUGCCUUGACGGUACCUUGUCAGAAAGCAACGGCUAACUAUGUGCCAGCAGCCGCGGUAAUACAUAGGUUGCAAGCGUUAUCCGGAAUUAUUGGGCGUAAAGCGUCUGUAGGUUGUAUGUUAAGUCUGGCGUGAAAACUUGGGGCUCAACCCCAAAUUGCGUUGGAUACUGGCAUGCUAGAAUUGUGUAGAGGUUAGCGGAAUUCCUAGUGAAGCGGUGAAAUGCGUAGAUAUUAGGAAGAACACCAAUUUGGCGAAGGCAGCUAACUGGGCACAUAUUGACACUGAGAGACGAAAGCGUGGGGAGCAAACAGGAUUAGAUACCCUGGUAGUCCACGCUGUAAACGAUGAUGAUUAGCUGAUAGAGAGCUCUAUCGGCGCAGCUAACGCAUUAAAUCAUCCGCCUGAGUAGUAUGCUCGCAAGAGUGAAACUUAAAGGAAUUGACGGGGAUCCGCACAAGCGGUGGAGCAUGUGGUUUAAUUUGAAGAUACGCGUAGAACCUUACCCACUCUUGACAUCUUCUGCAAAGCUAUAGAGAUAUAGCAGAGGUUAACAGAAUGACAGAUGGUGCA